rnacentral:rRNA from 1 species
GAUGAACGCUGGCGGCGUGCCUAAUACAUGCAAGUCGAGCGAACGGACGAGAAGCUUGCUUCUCUGAUGUUAGCGGCGGACGGGUGAGUAACACGUGGAUAACCUACCUAUAAGACUGGGAUAACUUCGGGAAACCGUAGCUAAUACCGGAUAAUAUUUUGAACCGCAUGGUUCAAAAGUGAAAGACGGUCUUGCUGUCACUUAUAGAUGGAUCCGCGCUGCAUUAGCUAGUUGGUAAGGUAACGGCUUACCAAGGCAACGAUGCAUAGCCGACCUGAGAGGGUGAUCGGCCACACUGGAACUGAGACACGGUCCAGACUCCUACGGGAGGCAGCAGUAGGGAAUCUUCCGCAAUGGGCGAAAGCCUGACGGAGCAACGCCGCGUGAGUGAUGAAGGUCUUCGGAUCGUAAAACUCUGUUAUUAGGGAAGAACAUAUGUGUAAGUAACUGUGCACAUCUGGACGGUACCUAAUCAGAAAGCCACGGCUAACUACGU